GGAUAGCUAGAAAAAUGGAAGUAUCAGUUCCCAGCUAUGUAUCGUUUGCUUGAUAUAACUUGGAUGAGAGAAAUAUGAAACAUACAAAUUAUUAGAUGCAUUUUGAAUGAGAGAAGGUGAUACAUACAUUUUAUUCGUUGCGUCUUGGAUGACAGAAGUUGAUGUUGUUCGGAAGCUUUCCUUUAUUUUUUUGCUCUAUUUUCACUUUGUGCUCAUGUAUUAUGUUGAGUGGUCGGGUGAACUAUGAAGCUCUUGUUGUUGGCCAACCAGAUUGCUGCAUUCAGUUUAAAUUGUGUACCUUAUUUGGUGACUGAUAGAUUAGCAUUUAUUAGUUUAAAUGGCGACUAAUAAAAAAUGGAGCUUCCAAAAUCAUUGUGCUAGUGUUUGUAGCAAUCUAUUCUAGGAAACUGACUCGGAUUUCCAUUUUAGGGACACAAAGGUACAAAUUGCAUCAUCUGUUGUUACGGCACCGUUGCUCCCUAACCCGUGCCAUGAAAUUAUUCACGUGUCAACUCACUAGGAAGGGGUUAGUCAGAUGAUUCAGUGCAAUCAUUCAAGCAUGUUUCAUACGCCAUCGCAUUUGGUUAUUAACUGAUUCGGUUAAAGUUUUCAUUUUUCAUUGCAUUUUUAUGCUUGGAGCCCUUUUAUUUUGUGAUGGAUGCAUUUGAGUUAACCUGAUUAUUGUCGCAAGUUGUAUCAUAUGUUCCAGGAGAUGGUCCAAUGGUUCUGUUAGUUCUGUUUCAUUUUUUUGUUUAAAUGUAGCAGUGUACUUUGUGAGUUAUGUUCCAUGUUCCUGUUUACACGUACAUUCAUUAAUUUUCCCAUUUGAAUCCCCUUAAUAAGUAAGGUGAACUCACAAGCUUGGAUCAUGAGCCAUAGGAACUCGAGAAAGGAACCAUUCAUUCCUUUUGCAAGACACUGAGAACUUCGGAUACGAGUACCCAUGGUGGUUUCUUUGUUCUUAGGAGACAUGCUGAAGAGUGCCUACCUCCACCAGCAUGUCUAAGAAUCCACCAUGUCAUGAAUUGGUAGCCAAAGAUCUCCAUGGAACUGGUUGGCAUUUUCAUCACAUAUUUCGUGGUAAUUUACAAUCUAGCAUUCAACUGAAUACCAUUUACACUUUGUGUUGUUUUGGUGUAGCACUUCAUGUCAAAAUUCAAUGUUGAAUUCUUACAACUGCAGAAACUUGCAGCAUAUACUGAUUCAUUACUUCAUGAGUAUGUGUGAGUUCUCUCCCUCUCUGGUUCUAUCUCACGCCUUCCGGUGUUUUGUGUUUCAGAUGCCUAAUCUCUUAGUAUUUGAGUGUCAUUUAUUUAACUUUUUUAAAAUUUGUAGUGCAACUUCUUACAUGUCAGUCCAUGUGUUAUGCAAGAUAGUAAGAAAGCAAGUGGAAUGGGCGCUUGCCAAUCUGGCACCCCCUCAGCUUCCUCUCAAGAGGCGCCACAGGCGGUGCCCCAACCCCUAGCCUCGUGGAAUGCUCGAAGUGGACAGCAAACUGGGCCGGCGCAGCCUUUUCCGCAAUCCAGGGCAGGGGCAGAUUCAGCACAGGUCAUGUUAGGAAUAAGCCACAAUGACCAUGUCAACUAGUGUGUGUGCGCGAGACAUGAUGCCGUUUCUUUUAUCGAUACAGAAAAAUGAGCUAUUAGUAGAAACUAUCUGAAACUACCGUGAACCAUUAAGGACAGUAAAACUGAACCUAAACCGAGC